AGAGUUGACCAGACAAUCGCCGCCUGAAAGGGGGGAGGAAAGUCCGGGCUCCACAGGAUAAGGUGCCAGGUAACGCCUGGGAGGCGCGAGCCUACGGAAAGUGCAGCAGAAAAUAUACCGCCAAUUUUUUGGUAAGGGUGAAAUGGUGGGGUAAGAGCCCACCGCUUUUUUGGUAACAAAAA
rnacentral:RNase_P_RNA from 1 species